rnacentral:rRNA from 1 species
UUGAACGCUGGCGGAAUGCUUUACACAUGCAAGUCGAACGGCAGCACGGGGGCAGCCCUGGUGGCGAGUGGCGAACGGGUGAGUAAUACAUCGGAACGUGCCCGGUCGUGGGGGAUAACGUAGCGAAAGUUACGCUAAUACCGCAUACGAUCUGAGGAUGAAAGCGGGGGACCUUCGGGCCUCGCGCGAUCGGAGCGGCCGAUGUCAGAUUAGGUAGUUGGUGGGGUAAAGGCCUACCAAGCCGACGAUCUGUAGCUGGUCUGAGAGGACGACCAGCCACACUGGGACUGAGACACGGCCCAGACUCCUACGGGAGGCAGCAGUGGGGAAUUUUGGACAAUGGGCGCAAGCCUGAUCCAGCCAUUCCGCGUGCAGGACGAAGGCCUUCGGGUUGUAAACUGCUUUUGUACGGAACGAAAAGGCUCUGGCUAAUACCCGGGGCUCAUGACGGUACCGUAAGAAUAAGCACCGGCUAACUACGUG